UACGUAGGUGGCAAGCGUUGUCCGGAUUUACUGGGCGUAAAGGAUGCGUAGGCGGACAUUUAAGUCAGAUGUGAAAUACCCGAGCUUAACUUGGGUGCUGCAUUUGAAACUGGGUGUCUAGAGUGCAGGAGAGGUAAGUGGAAUUCCUAGUGUAGCGGUGAAAUGCGUAGAGAUUAGGAAGAACACCAGUGGCGGAAGGCGACUUACUGGACUGUAACUGACGCUGAGGCAUGAAAGCGUGGGGAGCAACAGG
rnacentral:rRNA from 1 species